AGUGAACGCUGGCGGUAGGCCUAACACAUGCAAGUCGAACGGCAGCACCGUAAGAGCUUGCUCUUACGGGUGGCGAGUGGCGGACGGGUGAGGAAUACAUCGGAAUCUACUUUUUCGUGGGGGAUAACGUAGGGAAACUUACGCUAAUACAGCAUACGACCUACGGGUGAAAGCAGUGGAUCUUCGGACCUUGCGCGAUUGAAUGAGCCGAUGUCGGAUUAGCUAGUUGGCGGGGUAAAGGCCCAGCAAGGCGACGAUCCGUAGCUGGUCUGAGAGGAUGAUCAGCCACACUGGAACUGAAACACGGUCCAGAGUCCUACGGGAGGCAGCAGUGGGGAAUAUUGGACAAUGGGGGCAAGCCUGAUCCAGCCAGACCGCGUGGGUGAAGAAGGCCUUCGGGUUGUAAAGCCCUUUUGUUGGGAAAGAAAAGCAGCAGGUUAAUACCCCGCGGUUCUGACGGUACCCAAAGAAUAAGCACCGGCUAACUUCGUG
rnacentral:rRNA from 1 species